UACGUAGGGUGCGAGCGUUGUCCGGAAUUAUUGGGCGUAAAGAGCUCGUAGGCGGUGUGUCACGUCGGCCGUGAAAACCUGCAGCUUAACUGUGGGCGUGCGGUCGAUACGGGCAUCACUGGAGUUCGGCAGGGGAGACUGGAAUUCCUGGUGUAGCGGUGAAAUGCGCAGAUAUCAGGAGGAACACCGGUGGCGAAGGCGGGUCUCUGGGCCGAUACUGACGCUGAGGAGCGAAAGCGCGGGGAGCGAACAGG
rnacentral:rRNA from 1 species